rnacentral:tRNA from 1 species
GCGAGAGUAGCUCAGUUGGUAGAGCGUCAGCCUUCCAAGCUGAGGGUCGCGAGUUCGAGUCUCGUCUCUCGCU